AGGAUUGCAACCUUAUGGAAUGCAUCUAUAAGGCAGAAUUGUUGCAGUUUGACAGCACAUUAAGUGCCAUGGUUCAGGGUGAUGAAAUCCUAGGAUUUGUUUCUUGGGGCACCAGCACUGUUUGGCAGAGAAGACUAAUGAAAUGA
rnacentral:lncRNA from 11 species